rnacentral:misc_RNA from 1 species
UGAACGCACCUUGCACUCCUUGGUAUUCCGAGGAGUAUGCCUGUUUGAGUGUCAUGGAAUUCUCAACCUCAUGGUUUUAUUACUGUGAGGCUUGGAUUUGGAAGCCUGCUGGCGUAAGUCGGCUCUUCUUAAAUGUAUUAGCUGCUUGUCCGUGAGUUGGCUCAGAGUGUGAUAAGUAUCAACACUUGGUGGCUGCUUGCUUGGAUGUGGCUUCUAAUCGUCUUCGGACAACUUUCUUAAGAUCUGACCUCAAAUCAGGUAGGACUACCCGCUGAACUUAA